rnacentral:rRNA from 1 species
GACAGAGGGUGCAAACGUUGUUCGGAAUUACUGGGCGUAAAGCGCACGUAGGCGGCAUUGCAAGUCGGAUGUGAAAUCCCUCGGCUCAACCAAGGAAGUGCAUCCGAAACUGCUGUGCUUGAGUACUAAAGAGGAUCGCGGAAUUCCCGGUGUAGAGGUGAAAUUCGUAGAUAUCGGGAGGAACACCAGUGGCGAAGGCGGCGAUCUGGGUAGAUACUGACGCUGAGGUGCGAAAGCGUGGGAGCAACAGG